rnacentral:lncRNA from 1 species
GCCUCCGUCACGCUCUCCUCUCCUCCGGCCUUCGUCCCCGACGAGUUCAGUGUCCUCUUCUCCGCUGUAUCCAACUGAAGCGUGGGAAGCUGUUCCACGAACACUCCCUUUUCUUCGAAUGCGCCAGCGAUUUCUUCGUGCGUGAAGCGCUGGUCGACAUGUGAUCCAAGUGCGGCGAUGUCUUAGGCGCUCGGCAGGUAUUCGGUAAAAUGGCUAGUAGAGAUUUGGUUUCUGGGUUUCUAUGAUUUCCGGGUAAGCGCACAGUGGCCACAACGGAGACGUUGGAUUCCUUUUGGAGCCCAACCAGGCCACCUUGUGGAAUGAUCUCCUUGCUUACGGCCGACUUGGGACUCGUAGAAUGCGAUCAAAGACAUGUUUAAGCUUGUAUGAUGAUAACAUGGCUUUGCCAGAGAUGCCAUCUCUAUAUUUGAGAUAAUGGUAAACGAUGCAGUGAUGUCAAAUGCUGCAACAUUUGCAAGUCUCAUGUCUUCUUGUAGCCAUUCAGGAUUUUAAGAGGAAGUAGGGAGUAGAGCCAAAGCUGAAUCACUCUGCAGGCAUGGUAGACAUCCUCAGGCUGUUAGGGAAGGUACACGAAGCUGAAGAGCUCAUUGAGUAAAUGUCAGUAUCUAGGGAGCUCUUCUUGGAGCCUCUCAAAUCUAUGGGGAUCUAAUAUAGGAGAAAGAAUUGCAAAUAGGAUCUUAAACACGGACCAUUCCUUUGCUGGAUAUUAUGUUCUUUUAUCUGACCUUUAUGCAUCAAGGUGGACUGAUGUAGAUAAACCGAGGAAACUAAGAUAGAGAGAAGACUGAACAAGGAUCAGGGCAUUAGCUUGAUUGAGUUAAACAACAUUUGUUAUGGAUGAUACUUCUCAUCCUAGAUAUCAGAGAAUAUAUAGUUGUAUCUGGACCAACUAGGUGUAUGGAUGAAACAAUUGGUUAAUGUUCUUUCUGUAGAUUCACACUUCACAAUGUAAAUGAUGAGAGCAAGGAAGUUGAAGUUGUGCUGUCAUAUCAUAGUUAGAGGCUCACUAUCCCUUUUGGUUUGACCAACAUGGGUCUUGGGGCUGUGAUUUGUAUAGCCAAAAAUCUCCAUCUUUGUGGAGAUUGUCAUAAUGCAAUAAAGUUUAUCUCUUAAAUGGAGAACCGAGUAGUCGUUGUACGAGAUGCAAAUUGCUUCUGUUUUUUUUAGGAUGACAUCUGUUGUGGUAGUAGUUUCUUGUAAGAAACUUCUCAUAAACUUAUAUCUUGCCUUUCUAGUUGUAAGGAAGAACAAGAAUAGAAUUGAUUUGUAACACCCCCGAUUUAGUCCCACAUCAAAAGUGGGCUAAGACUUGGAUUUGCUUAUAUGGGUCUGAUUGAUAUACUAUUAUUAACUUUAGUUUAUACAUAAUGGUUUAUGCUAAAAAAUGUUAAUAGAUCAGUCUAUCCCAUUAGACUAUAACAUUGAUGAAAUAUGAAGAUUUCGACAAGUAGAAAAACACACCAAGCUAUCAUAUUUGGCAAAUUUAUGUUGAACAUAUAAUUAUGAACUUAGGAAAUAAUGUUAUUUCAUGAUUGGCCAUAUCUUUAUUAUUCUUACAAAUUGAACCAACAAAUACACAAAUAAUCCAACUAAGAUGGCCAUGCAACUAUCAUGGUUUGAGAAGUCAUGCUUAUUAGUAUUUUGUAAAUGAGAUAGGUACUCAGAGUUUACCUAAUCACCACGUGUAGAUCACAUCCACCACACUCUGAUUUGAGGAUACUUCUACUUUCAGAGCUAAACAAUUCAACUCCUUUGGCUCUUACAGUCACCCCUAGCAACAUAUCUUCCAUAAACUGUCCCUGGUAUCUUCCCAUGGAGGUUUGGAUGUCUAAAGUAAGCACCAAGAAUUUUUCAAGGGGAAAAAUUUUGCAAAUCCCUUUGACCUAGAACAAAUGUAUCAUUCAAGUAUGAAUUUUCCUUAUAAGGCAAAUUUAAACCUGCUAAUAUUGUGUUGUGUUCAUGCCAAGUUGGCAUGUUGGAUCAAACUUGACACCCCUGAUCUUAUUACUCUGUUGAUAUUACUCAUACAGGGGUAGUUAAAUCGUUACUCAAGGUGUAACAUAAACCUGAGUUCAUGCACGCAAUGGCUGCAUUGGAGAUUUUAUUGUAUUUUAACAAUUCACCCUCAAUCUCAUUUUAAAUUGUUUUAUCUGAGAUUGAGUGUUCCUCUACACUGAUUUGCAUGUUUGAUAUCUAUAUUCACUUUUAGUCUCUACUGUAGUAGUUGAUCAAAUAAGACAAUCUUUGGAAACCAAGAAAGCUAACAACAAAAUUAUGUUAUCCAAUGCAUUGCCUUCUAGCUUAAAAGACUUCAUUAUAGUAUUUGACUGCAAAUUUUUUAGGUAUCUGAUUCUGAACACCCAACUCCAGGUGGCAUAAGGCCAAAGUUACUUGACUUGUUGGAUGAUUAGCUGUAUUGAUGGUAUGGAUUGUAACAGAUGAAGAGUUUGACCUUGGUGCUUGGAAGGCUAUGAGCUUUGCAAUGAGCUUCUUUAUUGCGUGGAGGCAACUAAGCCAUGUUCCAUUUGAUGGCAAUGGCAGCAGUGGACCCCUCUUUUGCCAACCAGGUUUUAGUAGGUAACCGAACUCCUUUGCAGCUGCCACGUAUAGUUUAGACUAUAAUUCCAUUGGGACUUGGGAGUAUCUUGCCAGUUGUUUUAUCUUGGCAUUAGAAAGCUUACAUGUUUAUUGUGAUUAUUCUAGUCAAGGAAGAAACAGGAACAAUCGUUCUUCUUCUGAUUCCUUCUUGUGGCUGUUUGUAUUUAUGUUGGUGCACCAUUUUUGCUGAAACCGCAGAUAACUCAAUGUCUGUUCUCAUGAACCUCUGUGCUUAAAAGUCAUUGUAAUCUAGGUCAAGCAUGGGCAGGAAAUGGGUUUUGGGAUUAGUAGUUGCAUAGAGGAUGGACAUGGAAAGAGCUUGCAGAACAUCUAUGCUAGAGGAUGGUCCAGUGUAAGGACAGAUGCUGGUUGUUGUUGUUGUUGCAAGACUGUUUGAAUUCAAGCAACUUUAGUUGUUGCAAGACAGUAGGAUGCAUUGUAACUUCUAUAUAUCAAGGAUCAUAAAUCAUGGAGGAUGUUUUGGCUUUGCAAUCUUUUCU